rnacentral:lncRNA from 1 species
GUUCCUUAUAUCUCCCUGAAAGAAAUUUGUCUCCUAGAUAAUUCUAUGUGUUCGAGUAUGGAAAAGGAACCCUUGACUAAUGUGGAUUUCUUUUUUCCCUCCUGAAUCUCCCUUUGCUAAGUUUUCAGGCUUCUGACUGCAGAAAUACUGCAGAUGUGAGGGAAUCCAAAACUGGACUUUCAGACAUUGCCAUCUGACUUGCUAUCACACCCUAAGAAUUCUUGGGCUUUAUUGUCUGCUCUACCAAUAUACUCCAAGGAUCACUGGGCUAUUCGAUCAACAUUAAAGCACGUGCUGUCUCCUCUAGCUUGAAUAUAAGCCCCUUGAGAGCAAGGAUCAUCUUGCUUCUGUAUUUUUAUCCUCAGCACUUAGCACAGCCUUGGUGUAGACUAAACAAACAGUGAGCACCUGAACGACAUCUGAGCAUCUGAACAAACACUGCAGUUCCAUUCCAAUUCAAGAGAUCUAAAAACUGGAAUAAAAGAUGAAUGUCCUGUUUGUAAUUUGGAACCCCUCCUUUUCACCUGUUUCUGAAAGGCACAGAGAAAGCACACAGUAGAGAUCUAUGUGUUGUAGGAAUCCCAUCAUGAGAGAGAGGGAUAAGAUGAACAAAUGGAUUUUGCCCACAAAGAAGACUCUUAUCAGGCAACUGAAUUUUCCACAAGAAAUUUUCAACUAAUAGAAUCCCAAGACUACAAACUAGUAAUGGUAUAGAAUGAAACCAUUAAUAGUUUAUGUCUAUGUGAACAAUUAAAUAGUCUCUAUCCUGAAUGCGAAAUGAACAGUACAUAAAAAAAAUUAAAGGUAGCUUUUAUGUGGGAAAUCAUGUAAGUCUGGAAAUCAAACCAAUAAUUAAGAAUGUUUAGAAGCUUUUUUUGGGGGGGUAGAAAAAUUAACAAAAAAGAGGUGAUGUACUUUAUUUUUAAAAAUCAUUUAUAAAAUUACAGUCCCAAAUGGGAAUGAUUAAAACAAAAAACCUUUCCUACAUAAUUUCUCCCACUUCC